AUGAACAAGCAUUUAGAAGGAUAGACACUUUGGGAGAAGAAGAAGAAGGGUGCAAAAAUUACUGGAUGAACUGCUGGUAUCAAUUCUAGAGAAAACAGAAAGCCCCAGAAACAAACCUGUAUCCACUGUUCUCUGUUGAUCUCCACACCAUUGGCACGCAGAGAAGUGAUGGCUCGGUCAAUGAUCUUGUCGACCAUCUGAGUGUUCCCAUUGGCCUCCUCCAGCUUCGCAGCAGUGAUCCAGAUGUGGCGAUCGGUGGGGAUAUUCUCUCGAGCUUUGUUCAGGACACGACGAGCGUUCUCAUAUGUCUCUAA